AUAGAGACCUGUAUGAAUGGCAUAACGAGGGCUUAGCUGUCUCCUUUCUCAAGUUAAUGAAAUUGACCUCCCCGUGCAGAGGCGGGGAUACAAACAUAAGACGAGAAGACCCUAUGGAGCUUUAGGCACUAGAACUGACCACGUAAAAAGCCCCGCACAAGGGGAUAUAACUUUGUGGCCCCACUUCAACUGCC
rnacentral:rRNA from 1 species